CAGUAGCCACGGUAAUACGGAGGGUGCAAGCGUUAAUCGGAAUUACUGGGCGUAAAGCGUGCGUAGGCGGUUCGUUAAGUCUGUUGUGAAAGCCCCGGGCUCAACCUGGGAAUGGCAAUGGAUACUGGCGAGCUAGAGUGUGUCAGAGGAUGGUGGAAUUCCCGGUGUAGCGGUGAAAUGCGUAGAGAUCGGGAGGAACAUCAGUGGCGAAGGCGGCCAUCUGGGACAACACUGACGCUGAGGCACGAAAGCGUGGGGAGCAAACAGGAUUAGAUACCCCAGUAGUCCCUGUCUCUUAUAA
rnacentral:rRNA from 1 species